rnacentral:rRNA from 1 species
GACGAACGCUGGCGGCGUGCUUAACACAUGCAAGUCGAACGAAGUGGCGAACGGGUAAGUAAUACGUGGGUAACCUGCGCUCCUUUUUGGGAUAAGCCUUGGAAACGGGGACUAAUACCGCAUAAAGGGGGAUGGGCUCGCGGCCUAUCAGCUUGUUGGUGGGGUGAUGGCCUACCAAGGCGGUGACGGGUAGCCGGGCUGAGAGGCCGACCUGGCACAUUGGCACGGACCUGCGUCCUAGACGAGGAAGGGGUGCAGCAUUGUGGGCUAUUGGACAAAGGGCGAAGGCCUCAUGCAGCGAGUCUGCGUGGGGGAUGAGGGUUGUCGGGUUGUUACCCUCUUUCGCUAUGGAACGGUUAGGGGGAGAAGAAGCGCCGGCUAACUACGUGCCAGCAGCCGCGGUAAUUC